CUUCCGCUGGACGAGGUACACGUACCUCGUCUAUCGGAAGGAAAGCCUUCCGCUGGACGAGGUACACGUACCUUGUCCAUCGGAAG
rnacentral:miRNA from 1 species